AGAUUGAACGCUGGCGGCAGGCCUAACACAUGCAAGUCGAGCGGUAGAGAGGUGCUUGCACCUCUUGAGAGCGGCGGACGGGUGAGUAAUGCCUAGGAAUCUGCCCAGUGGUGGGGGAUAACGUUCGGAAACGGACGCUAAUACCGCAUACGUCCCACGGGAGAAAGCGGGGGACCUUCGGGCCUCGCGCCAUUAGAUGAGCCUAGGUCGGAUUAGCUAGUUGGUGAGGUAAUGGCUCACCAAGGCGACGAUCCGUAACUGGUCUGAGAGGAUGAUCAGUCACACUGGAACUGAGACACGGUCCAGACUCCUACGGGA
rnacentral:rRNA from 1 species